rnacentral:rRNA from 1 species
CGGGGGGAGCAAGCGUUGUUCGGAUUUACUGGGCGUAAAGGGCGUGUAGGCGGCCACCGCAAGUCGGUUGUGAAAUCUCCGGGCUUAACCCGGAAAGGUCAACCGAUACUGCGGGGCUAGAGUGCAGAAGGGGCAACUGGAAUUCUCGGUGUAGCGGUGAAAUGCGUAGAUAUCGAGAAGAACACCUGCGGCGAAGGCGGGUUGCUGGGCUGACACUGACGCUGAAACGCGAAAGCUAGGGGAGCGAACGGGAUUAGAUACCCCGGUAGUCCUAGCCUUAAACGAUGAAUGCUUGGUGUCUGGGGUUUUAUAGUCCCCGGGUGCCGUCGCUAACGCUUUAAGCAUUCCGCCUGGGGAGUACGGCCGCAAGACUG